rnacentral:rRNA from 1 species
GCAACCUGCCCAAAAGAGGGGGAUAACACUUGGAAACAGGUGCUAAUACCGCAUAACCAUAGUUACCGCAUGGUAACUAUGUAAAAGGUGGCUAUGCUACCGCUUUUGGAUGGGCCCGCGGCGCAUUAGCUAGUUGGUGGGGUAAAGGCUUACCAAGGCAAUGAUGCGUAGCCGAACUGAGAGGUUGAUCGGCCACAUUGGGACUGAGACACGGCCCAAACUCCUACGGGAGGCAGCAGUAGGGAAUCUUCCACAAUGGGCGAAAGCCUGAUGGAGCAACGCCGCGUGGGUGAAGAAGGUCUUCGGAUCGUAAAACCCUGUUGUUAGAGAAGAAAGUGCGUGAGAGUAACUGUUCACGUUUCGACGGUAUCUAACCAGAAAGCCACGGCUAACUACGUGCCAGCAGCCGCGGUAAUACGUAGGUGGCAAGCGUUAUCCGGAUUUAUUGGGCGUAAAGGGAACGCAGGCGGUCUUUUAAGUCUGAUGUGAAAGCCUUCGGCUUAACCGGAGUAGUGCAUUGGAAACUGGGAGACUUGAGUGCAGAAGAGGAGAGUGGAACUCCAUGUGUAGCGGUGAAAUGCGUAGAUAUAUGGAAGAACACCAGUGGCGAAAGCGGCUCUCUGGUCUGUAACUGACGCUGAGGUUCGAAAGCGUGGGUAGCAAACAGGAUUAGAUACCCUGGUAGUCCACGCCGUAAACGAUGAAUGCUAAGUGUUGGAGGGUUUCCGCCCUUC